rnacentral:rRNA from 1 species
AGAGUUUGAUCCUGGCUCAGGAUGAACGCUAGCGGCAGGCUUAACACAUGCAAGUCGAGGGGUAUAGUAGCAAUACUAGAGACCGGCGCACGGGUGCGUAACGCGUAUGCAAUCUACCUUUUGCAGAGGGAUAGCCCAGAGAAAUUUGGAUUAAUACCUCAUAGUAUAGUGAUACCGCAUGGUGCUACUAUUAAAGUCACAACGGCAAAAGAUGAGCAUGCGUCCCAUUAGCUAGUUGGUAAGGUAACGGCUUACCAAGGCAACGAUGGGUAGGGGUCCUGAGAGGGAGAUCCCCCACACUGGUACUGAGACACGGACCAGACUCCUACGGGAGGCAGCAGUGAGGAAUAUUGGACAAUGGGCGCAAGCCUGAUCCAGCCAUGCCGCGUGCAGGAUGACGGUCCUAUGGAUUGUAAACUGCUUUUAUACGAGAAGAAACACUCCGACGUGUCGGAGCUUGACGGUAUCGUAAGAAUAAGGAUCGGCUAACUCCGUGCCAGCAGCCGCGGUAAUACGGAGGAUCCAAGCGUUAUCCGGAAUCAUUGGGUUUAAAGGGUCCG